UACAGAGGUCUCAAGCGUUUGUUCGGAUUCAUUGGGCGUAAAGGGUGUCGUAGGCGGCGCCGGUAAGUCGGGUGUGAAAUUUCGGAGCUUAACUCCGAAACUGCAUUCGAUACUGCCGUGCUUGAGGACUGGAGAGGAGACUGGAAUUCAUGGUGUAGCAGUGAAAUGCGUAGAGAUCAUGAGGAAGACCAGUGGCGAAGGCGGGUCUCUGGACAGUUCCUGACACUGAGGCACGAAGGCCAGGGGAGCAAACGGG
rnacentral:rRNA from 1 species